rnacentral:lncRNA from 1 species
GGGAUUACGCGGUGGUGGCACUUUAAUUGGUGAAGGAAAUGAUGCUAAAAAUGGAAAAGGGAAAAAGAAGCUAGCCUGACCCUGGCCUAGAAGGGGUCAUGAGGGGUGUGUAGUGUGAAACGUUGAAGGCUACAUGGAGAAGAUGUUCCAUUCUUAUGGUUAGACGAAGAAGAGUACGAUAGAAUACCAAGGGAUGAAACAACUUGAUGCGGCAAAACAACAAUGUUU